CUGGAAAGCAGUGACUCUGGGAAGCUCUGAUGGAUUAUGCAGAUAAUUCACUGGAAGUUGGCUUCAGACAGAGCAAGAAAACCUAAGCACGACACUAACAAAACACAUACUGUAGGACAACACUGAAGGGAGAAGCAAAAUGACUGGGAAAAGUUCAGAAAUGAGCUACAGACGUGACAUAAAAUCUUUAAGAUACUCUCUAACAUGAAAAGGUCUUCAGGAUACCACAUAGUUUGUCAGAAGAAAGUAAAGGACACUCACGUCUUAAUGAUGUACCAAGAAAAAUGCAUCCAAGAGAAGAAAGGACUAAAAAAGAACAGUCAAAUUCAAACUGGAUUCAGGCUUGGGGACCAGAGCUCCACUCUGGCCAAUUGUAGAUAAUCCAGACCAUCAUCACAGAGGACUGGGCACCAAGAGUGCGAAUCUCCUGGGAACCAAUCUGAUCUAGGUAGGAAUGUCUGUGGAGCCCACACAAGAGCUGUGGAAGUAUCUUGAUGUUUACUCACACUAAGCAAGGCAUCAAGCAGCAGAGCUAGAAGAAACACCUUUCUUAAAGAAGACGUUGACCUUCCAGAUUCUCUCUCAGUACCCAACUUUCUGUACCACUCUCACGGACAAAAGAACGUCUCGCUCCAGAGCCACCAACACUACCAAAAUUACGAAGUUAUGAAACUACCACAAAGCAGCUGAGGAGCGCAUCGGGGUGAAGCAGGGCACGCAG
ensembl:lncRNA